rnacentral:rRNA from 1 species
AGCGUACACGGUGGAUGCCCUGGCAGUCAGAGGCGAUGAAGGACGUGCUAAUCUGCGAUAAGCGUCGGUAAGGUGAUAUGAACCGUUAUAACCGGCGAUUUCCGAAUGGGGAAACCCAGUGUGAUUCGUCACACUAUCAUUAACUGAAUCCAUAGGUUAAUGAGGCGAACCGGGGGAACUGAAACAUCUAAGUACCCCGAGGAAAAGAAAUCAACCGAGAUUCCCCCAGUAGCGGCGAGCGAACGGGGAGGAGCCCAGAGCCUGAAUCAGUGUGUGUGUUAGUGGAAGCGUCUGGAAAGGCGCGCGAUACAGGGUGACAGCCCCGUACACAAAAAUGCACAUGCUGUGAGCUCGAUGAGUAGGGCGGGACACGUGGUAUCCUGUCUGAAUAUGGGGGGACCAUCCUCCAAGGCUAAAUACUCCUGACUGACCGAUAGUGAACCAGUACCGUGAGGGAAAGGCGAAAAGAACCCCGGCGAGGGGAGUGAAAAAGAACCUGAAACCGUGUACGUACAAGCAGUGGGAGCCCAGAGCAAUCUUUGUGACUGCGUACCUUUUGUAUAAUGGGUCAGCGACUUAUAUUCUGUAGCAAGGUUAACCGAAUAGGGGAGCCGAAGGGAAACCGAGUCUUAACUGGGCGUUAAGUUGCAGGGUAUAGACCCGAAACCCGGUGAUCUAGCCAUGGGCAGGUUGAAGGUUGGGUAACACUAACUGGAGGACCGAACCGACUAAUGUUGAAAAAUUAGCGGAUGACUUGUGGCUGGGGGUGAAAGGCCAAUCAAACCGGGAGAUAGCUGGUUCUCCCCGAAAGCUAUUUAGGUAGCGCCUCGUGAAUUCAUCUCCGGGGGUAGAGCACUGUUUCGGCAAGGGGGUCAUCCCGACUUACCAACCCGAUGCAAACUGCGAAUACCGGAGAAUGUUAUCACGGGAGACACACGGCGGGUGCUAACGUCCGUCGUGAAGAGGGAAACAACCCAGACCGCCAGCUAAGGUCCCAAAGUCAUGGUUAAGUGGGAAACGAUGUGGGAAGGCCCAGACAGCCAGGAUGUUGGCUUAGAAGCAGCCAUCAUUUAAAGAAAGCGUAAUAGCUCACUGGUCGAGUCGGCCUGCGCGGAAGAUGUAACGGGGCUAAACCAUGCACCGAAGCUGCGGCAGCGACACUGUGUGUUGUUGGGUAGGGGAGCGUUCUGUAAGCCUGUGAAGGUGUGCUGUGAGGCAUGCUGGAGGUAUCAGAAGUGCGAAUGCUGACAUAAGUAACGAUAAAGCGGGUGAAAAGCCCGCUCGCCGGAAGACCAAGGGUUCCUGUCCAACGUUAAUCGGGGCAGGGUGAGUCGACCCCUAAGGCGAGGCCGAAAGGCGUAGUCGAUGGGAAACAGGUUAAUAUUCCUGUACUUGGUGUUACUGCGAAGGGGGGACGGAGAAGGCUAUGUUGGCCGGGCGACGGUUGUCCCGGUUUAAGCGUGUAGGCUGGUUUUCCAGGCAAAUCCGGAAAAUCAAGGCUGAGGCGUGAUGACGAGGCACUACGGUGCUGAAGCAACAAAUGCCCUGCUUCCAGGAAAAGCCUCUAAGCAUCAGGUAACAUCAAAUCGUACCCCAAACCGACACAGGUGGUCAGGUAGAGAAUACCAAGGCGCUUGAGAGAACUCGGGUGAAGGAACUAGGCAAAAUGGUGCCGUAACUUCGGGAGAAGGCACGCUGAUAUGUAGGUGAAGUCCCUCGCGGAUGGAGCUGAAAUCAGUCGAAGAUACCAGCUGGCUGCAACUGUUUAUUAAAAACACAGCACUGUGCAAACACGAAAGUGGACGUAUACGGUGUGACGCCUGCCCGGUGCCGGAAGGUUAAUUGAUGGGGUCAGCGCAAGCGAAGCUCUUGAUCGAAGCCCCGGUAAACGGCGGCCGUAACUAUAACGGUCCUAAGGUAGCGAAAUUCCUUGUCGGGUAAGUUCCGACCUGCACGAAUGGCGUAAUGAUGGCCAGGCUGUCUCCACCCGAGACUCAGUGAAAUUGAACUCGCUGUGAAGAUGCAGUGUACCCGCGGCAAGACGGAAAGACCCCGUGAACCUUUACUAUAGCUUGACACUGAACAUUGAGCCUUGAUGUGUAGGAUAGGUGGGAGGCUUUGAAGUGUGGACGCCAGUCUGCAUGGAGCCGACCUUGAAAUACCACCCUUUAAUGUUUGAUGUUCUAACGUGGACCCGUGAUCCGGGUUGCGGACAGUGUCUGGUGGGUAGUUUGACUGGGGCGGUCUCCUCCUAAAGAGUAACGGAGGAGCACGAAGGUUGGCUAAUCCUGGUCGGACAUCAGGAGGUUAGUGCAAUGGCAUAAGCCAGCUUGACUGCGAGCGUGACGGCGCGAGCAGGUGCGAAAGCAGGUCAUAGUGAUCCGGUGGUUCUGAAUGGAAGGGCCAUCGCUCAACGGAUAAAAGGUACUCCGGGGAUAACAGGCUGAUACCGCCCAAGAGUUCAUAUCGACGGCGGUGUUUGGCACCUCGAUGUCGGCUCAUCACAUCCUGGGGCUGAAGUAGGUCCCAAGGGUAUGGCUGUUCGCCAUUUAAAGUGGUACGCGAGCUGGGUUUAGAACGUCGUGAGACAGUUCGGUCCCUAUCUGCCGUGGGCGCUGGAGAACUGAGGGGGGCUGCUCCUAGUACGAGAGGACCGGAGUGGACGCAUCACUGGUGUUCGGGUUGUCAUGCCAAUGGCACUGCCCGGUAGCUAAAUGCGGAAGAGAUAAGUGCUGAAAGCAUCUAAGCACGAAACUUGCCCCGAGAUGAGUUCU